AUGAACGCUGGCGGCGUGCCUAAUACAUGCCAGUCGCGCGAACAGACGAGGAGCUUGCUCCUCUGACGUUAGCGGCGGACGGGUGAGUAACACGUGGAUAACCUACCUAUAAGACUGGGAUAACUUCGGGAAACCGGAGCUAAUACCGGAUAAUAUAUUGAACCGCAUGGUUCAAUAGUGAAAGACGGUUUUGCUGUAACUUAUAGAUGGAUCCGCGCCGCAUUAGCUAGUUGGUAAGGUAACGGCAUACCAAGGCAACGAUGCGUAGCCGACCUGAGAGGGUGAUCGGCCACACUGGAACUGAGACACGGUCCAGACUCCUACGGGAGGCAGCAGUAGGGAAUCUUCCGCAAUGGGCGAAAGCCUGACGGAGCAACGCCGCGUGAGUGAUGAAGGUCUUCGGAUCGUAAAACUCUGUUAUUAGGGAAGAACAAAUGUGUAAGUAACUAUGCACGUCUUGACGGUACCUAAUCAGAAAGCCACGGCUAACUACGUG
rnacentral:rRNA from 1 species